GUCGAGAAUCUUUCACAAUGGGGGCAACCCUGAUGGAGCGACGCCGCGUGGAGGAUAAGGUCUUCGGAUUGUAAACUCCUGUCAUGCGUGAACAAGGUUGCUUGGAUAAUACCUGAGCAAAUUGAUGGUAGCGCAAGAGGAAGAGACGGCUAACUCUGUGCCAGCAGCCGCGGUAAUACAGAGGUCUCAAGCGUUGUUCGGAAUCACUGGGCGUAAAGGGUGCGUAGGUGGCGUGGCAAGUCAGAUGUGAAAGCCCGGGGCUCAACCUCGGAACUGCAUCCGAUACUGCCAUGCUAUAGUACUGGAGGGGUGACUAGAAUUCUCGGUGUAGCAGUGAAAUGCGUAGAUAUCGAGAGGAAUACCAAAGGCGUAGGCAGGUCACUGGACAGUUACUGACACUGAGGCACGAAGGCCAGGGGAGCGAACGGGAUUAGAAACCCGUGUAGUCC
rnacentral:rRNA from 1 species